CUGUCCUGUGUCCUACUGUACCUGUCCUGUUUCCUACCUGUAGUCACAUCAGUAUUACUGUCCUGUGUCCUACCUGUCCUGUGUCCUACCUGUCCUGUGUCCUACCUGUAGUCACACCAGUAUUACUGUCCUGUUUCCUACCUGUCCUGUGUCCUACUGUACCUGUCCUGUGUCCUACCUGUAGUCACACCAGUAUUACUGUCCUGUUUCCUACCUGUCCUGUGUCCUACUGUACCUGUCCUGUGUCCUACCUGUAGUCACACCAGUAUUACUGUCCUGUGUCCUACCUGUCCUGUGUCCUACCUGUCCUGUGUCCUACUGUACCUGUUCUGUUUCCUACCUGUAGUCACAUCAGUAUUAUCUGUCCUGUGUCCUACCUGUCCUGUGUCCUACUGUACCUGUCCUGUGUCCUACCUGUCCUGUGUCCUACCUGUCCUGUGUCCUACCUGUCCUGUGUCCUACCUGUCCUGUGUCCUACCUGUCCUGUGUCCUACUGUACCCCACAUCUGUCCUACCUGUAUGUUCUGUUUGAAAGUUAAUUUUUGUCUGUGUUACAUAGAAAACACAAUAUGUUACAUGUAAACACCACACGUUAUCAUGGACAGGUCGAUUUUUAAUUAUAAUUAUUUCAUAACUUUAGUGUCUAUGUUAAUACACACAGACCUUUGAACACUUGAGCAGUAUCAGUAAAAUGGUUUUUUUAAGCACUAAAGUGGUCUUGUUUUUUUUUGUGUGUGUCUAUUAUAAAAUUCAUACGAAUGUUCACCGUUGACUGCUAUUGGCUCCUCUUCCCCUCCAACAAAUGGAUGACGCUCUGAAACAAAACUACAUCAGACAUUUUGAAACACUUAACAAAGAGUGAAACUGUCCAAACCGUUUAGAAAGGUUGCGUAUAUGAAAACAGAGGAAGUAGUUAUCUUUCUUUCAAAAUGUUUAGCCGUUUCUGUUGCACCGGAGUCCAACUGGUUUCUGAGACAACGGUCUGCUUCGUUCUCUAACAGCAGCUUGUCUUCAUAAGUUGUUCAGGAGAGUAAUCCUGAAUGUCAGACGGACAUCACAUCUCUUUUUCACUGUUGUUGUAGUGAAGUCAGGAAACAGUAUAAGAUAUAACUCCUGACUAUAGUCCUACUAGCUAAGAUAUAACUCCUGACUAUAGCUAUAGUCCUAUUAGCUAAGAUAUAACUCCAGACUAUAGUCCUGUUAGCUUAGGUAUAACUCCAGACUAUAGCUAUAGUCCAAUUAGCUAAGAUAAAACUCCAGACUAUAGCUAUAGUCCUAUUCGCUAAGAUAUAACUCCAGACUAUAGCCAUAGUCCUAUUAGCUAAGAUAUAACUCCAGACUAUAGUCCUGUUAACUUAGGUAUAACUCCAGACUAUAGCUAUAGUCCAAUUAGCUAAGAUAAAACUCCAGACUAUAGCUAUAGUCCUGUUAGCUAAGAUAUAACUCCAGACUAUAGUCAUAUUAGCUAAGAUAUAACUCCAGACUAUAGCUAUAGUCCUAUUAGCUAAGAUAUAACUCCUGACUAUAGUCCUAUUAGCUAAGAUAUAACUCCAGACUAUAGCUAUAGUCCUGUUAGCUAAGGUAUAACUCCAGACUAUAGUUCUAUUAGCUAAGAUAUAACUCCAGACUAUAGUUCUAUUAGCUAAGAUAUAACUCCAGCCUAUAGUUCUAUUAGCUAAGGUAUAACUCCAGACUAUAGCUAUAGUCCUAUUAGCUAAGAUAUAAUUCCAGACUAUAGUCCUGUUAGCUAAGAUAUAACUCCAGACUAGAGUCCUGUUAGCUAUAGUCAAAUAAUUAACAUCCAAUCACAUUAACCGUUACUCUCUCGCGGGAAAUCCACUAAUGGUCUGUAUGUAGCCAAACGUAGCUGCUGCUCAUGUUGAUAUCUGUACUGAUGGCGCAAACGCCAUGACAGGGAGACAUAGUGGAGUGGUAACGCGCGUGCAAGCAGUUGCUCCCGACGCCACUUGGGUACAUUGCAG
ensembl:lncRNA